rnacentral:misc_RNA from 1 species
GGGUAACUGUUUUGCAGUCGUAAAAAGAAAAUGCUCUGAGAGUUGACAAAUCUAAACUGAUACACAAAUUUAUAAUUUCAAGAAGCUAGAGGAACAAAACAAUCUUUUCUGUUGCUCAAUUUCCUUUCCCCAAACAUUAUGACUUAACAGGACCAAGAUGCAAGAAAUUGUCCUCAAGAAUUGGAGAACAGCAACAAGGUUAAUGAGAAAUAUAAUCAAAC